UCAAGGAGCAGUAAAAGAUGGUUAUUCCUGAGAACCCUCAGGAAAUAGAGUCUCUGCUGUGCCUUCUUGAUGGUAGCCAUAGUAUUUGUGCUCCAAGUCAGGUCGUCUCUCAAAUACACGCCCACAAAACAAAAUUCAGAGACCCACUCCACACAGUCCCCAUCGAUGACCAGUGGCUGGAUGA